CCUUAUUAUUUUUCCCAAUUCUUCCGCGAAAUCUCCAUCUCCAAUCUAAUCGUCUUCCAUCUCCAAUCCGACCAUCUUCCGACCUCGUCACCAUUCGCCCCUACUCCUGGUCGUCUGUUCACUCUGGCGUGGCCAUCUAUUUGCUCUGAUGUGUCCAUUGUUUUCGUCUUCUCCGGCGCUGCCAUUCGUGCCCGUCGCCACCUCCUCUGCCGAUGAGUCUUGAAGAAGCGAUAGGAUACGUUGGAUCUGAUGAACUUAUUAAGGGAGAUGGAUCUCUUGCUAGUUCCUUAUUCCUCAGAUCCCAGCCUAAAAAUAAUCCAAAUGCCUCCCUUUUUACUAGCCAGCAAGAUUCCAAUAACCUUGGAUAUGGCUGUUGAAUUUCGAUCCAGAGAUUCUGACCUAUGGAAGCACAUUUAUGCAGAUGAGUACAUGAAAUGUAAAGUGAUAGAGUGUUGUGAAUCUUUAAAAAAUGUCCUGAAUGUUCUGGUAGUUGGAGAAAAUGAGAAAAGAUUCCAAGCUACAUUCCUACUUAUUGAACCAAACAUCAUCAAAUAAUCAUAGUUCUUUCGUUUUUGUCAGUUGCAGUUUUUUUUUUUUUUUUUUUUUUGUCGACUUUGACACUUGAACAAGUUUUUUUUUUUUUAUGAGGAUAUAUUAAGAAUCUUGCUUUUAAGGCUUCCUCUUUUCUCUCUCGCUUUAUUUAAAUGAUAGUAAAUGGUUCAAAUUAGUUUAUUACAACAAUGAUUUGUAUGUAGUUUCAUUUAUAAUGUCAAUAUAUCAAAAUUCUUGAUUAAUUGAUCAAAGAAAGUGUUAAACAAUUUGCUCAAGAUAACAUUGCUCCCCAUGCCACAAAAAUUGAUCAACCCAACUCUUUUCCAAAUGUCAGUUGGAAGUCCUUCUCUAUAUGUUUAAUGAGUUGCUAUAUGAUUUGACUAAAAUGUAUUGUAUUGUAGGAUGUUAACUUAUGGAAGCUCAUUCGGGACUUCAAUCUCCAUGGAAUUAGAACAUCAGAUUACUUAUUUAUAUCCAGGUAAAUUUUCUAAAGAGUAACGAUACAAGAGUUGUAAUUUGUAAAAAGUUUCAAUAUUGUAGACCAAGUGGAUGUUACGGUGAUGCUGUUAUUCUACAUUUGUGCUCUGCUCUGUAGUUGUUUCUCUUAUCGACGCAUGUAGUGAUAGGUUCAACUGGAGUCGACAACUUCAUGAGUUUACUUUCAAAGAACAUUUUCAGAGACGAACAU